UACAGAGGGGGCAAGCGUUAUUCGGAAUUAUUGGGCGUAAAGGGCGCGUAGGCGGCUUUGCAAGUGGCGGGUGAAAUCCCUCGGCUUAACCGAGGAACUGCCUGCCAGACUGUGAGGCUUGAGACCGGGAGAGGUGAGUGGAAUUCCCAGUGUAGCGGUGAAAUGCGUAGAUAUUGGGAGGAACACCAGUGGCGAAGGCGGCUCACUGGUCCGGUUCUGACGCUGAGGCGCGAAAGCGUGGGGAGCAAACAGG
rnacentral:rRNA from 1 species